rnacentral:rRNA from 1 species
GGAGGAAAGUAGGGGAUCGCAAGACCUUGCGCUUCUUGAGCGGCCGAUGCCUGAUUAGCUAGUUGGUAAGGUAAUGGCUUACCAAGGCAACGAUCAGUAGCUGGUCUGAGAGGACGACCAGCCACACUGGGACUGAGACACGGCCCAGACUCCUACGGGAGGCAGCAGUGGGGAACUUUGGACAAUGGGCGAAAGCCUGAUCCAGCCAUGCCGCGUGAGUGAAGAAGGCCUUCGGGUUGUAAAGCUCUUUCGGUCGGGAAGAAAUAGUUGUGGCUAAUAUCCACAAUGAAUGACGGUACCGACAUAAGAAGCACCGGCUAACUACGUGCCAGCAGCCGCGGUAAUACGUAGGGUGCAAGCGUUAAUCGGAAUUAUUGGGCGUAAAGGGUGCGCAGGCGGUUGUAUAAGUCAGAUGUGAAAUCCCUGGGCUUAACCUAGGAAUUGCGUUUGAAACUACAAAGCUAG